rnacentral:sRNA from 1 species
ACGACUAGACAUCGUCUCAUAUGAAGAAAUGAUGGAAAUGAGCGCUUUAGGUGCUGGUGUACUUGAAACAAGAAGUGUUGAAUUAGCUAAAAACUAUAAUAUCCCUUUAUAUUUAGGAAAAACUUUAUCGAACGUGAAAGGAACAUG